GAUGAUGGCGGAGUGACACCGCCACCGCUACCAUCCGACGUGGCAACGGCGGUCCCCUCGGGCCCACCAAACUCCCAAUUACCCGAUCCAAACAAGGGCCCAACGGACGAGCCGACCCGGCCCAUAGCUACAACAUACUCCUCCCUUUCAACCCUAGUCAAACUCUUUUGUUUCUCCGAACGACGUCGUUUGGCAGCCAACCUCCUCAAACUCUGAAGCUCCUUCCUCUUCCUCCACUCCUCCUCCGUCUCCACCGGCAACGACGCCGUUCUGACCAAACCCGAAUAAGAUCCAUCAUGACCCGUUUUCAACUUAUUAUUGUUCAAAACGUCGUCGUCGUCGUCUUUAACAACAGGUAAGAUUGCAGCAAUUGAAGAUGAUCUUACUAACUUACUCUUAUCCACACCAAAUCUUCCACCUAACGAUAACCCGAGAUUCAGCUCCAGAUCCUCUUCCGGGUCGGAUCCUCUCGGAUCUUUUGACCCGGUGAAUCUCUGCAACAAAUCCCUCGAUCUUUCACCCAUUUUGAACCAAAUAAACUCAAUCGAAGUGUUUUGUGACCCGAUUUGGAGAUAAUCGGAGUGGGAAAGUGGGUGUGAUCCGCAUAUUGGUUUGCUAUUGCUCUGAUUUUGAGCUUGAAAAGUGGGUUUUCUUCGUAAUUGAAGAAUUGGGGCAACAGAGAAAGAACCAAUUAGGAGAAACAGGGGAGGUUUUUAGAUAAUAUGAUUGGAGGAUGAAGAAAUUUGAGAGGAAAUGAAAUGAAGAAGAGAAUUGUUCGAAAGGGGAAAAGGAAACAGUAUGAGUGGAGAAGACAGAUGUUUUAGUUUCGACCCUUUAAGUUUAUUGAUUGGGAUACUUGAGAUUUUCUUUUACAUAUUUACUUAUUACUCCAACUACUUGUUCGGUUCUGGUUCUUGUUCGGUUCGUUGGUUAAAUUGAUCGGGGUCAUAAUUGAUUAACUUAACGUGUUCGGUUCUUGUUCGUUCACGGGUAUUUUGAUCGGGGUCAUAAUUGUAAAAGUAUGUGGUUCAAGUGUAUUUAACUGGACUGGUUGUGUAUAUGGUAUUUAGUUGACUAGUUGUGUAUGCGGUUUUUGAUCUGGGUGGUUGGUACGAUCUGAUUGUAAGAACAUUGUAUUUACUUGCUCUGACUACUUGUUCGGGCCGUGGGUUAAAUUGAUCAGGGUUAUAAUUGAUUAACUUUAAUGAAUGUGGUUCGAGUGUAUUCGAUUGGAGUGGUUGUG
rnacentral:lncRNA from 1 species